AAGCUGUGACUAUUGGAUCAGAAGAUGGUAUGAUACUGACUGAUGGCCAGGGGAAUGAAAUUCUCGAUAGAGGGAACAAAAGGGUCAGCUUACUGGAAACAAAAUUCUAGGAAGGUUUUUGCUGUGCCUGAACAACAGUUCUUGGAUAUGAGAUCCAAAAGGAGAAGAUUAAGCCAACGGGAUGAUGACAGCCAGCUACCAGAGGUCUUAGAAAGAAUUGAAGAGGAGGUGUUGGCAAG